rnacentral:lncRNA from 1 species
ACCCUACUCUAAUAAGGCUUUAAUAUGUGGAGCUCAUAGGUGGGAGAUAAAAUAUACAUACUUACAAGACAUUUAUUGUAUAGUCAAACCAUGGAUCCAAAGAAACAAAUCAAUAAGUCAAGUCAAGAUGUGCAUGUGUGGCGAAUGAAUGGUGUAUGGUGAUGAUGGUGAUAACAAUGGUGAAAGUCUAAUUCUACUUUUGCUAUUUUGAGGGAUACAUACCUUUCUUGCUCUUUUGAAACUUUUUUUAGGAGAAUGAGAUGCUCUAUAUUUUUCUUUUUCUUUCCUCUCAGGUGGCUAUCUUGUACCCCUAAUUCUACUAUCGGACACUUGUCCAUUUUUACCUCUCGUCUCACUUUUUCUUUUCUUGCGAGGUUCCGGGCUUUUGCCCCUUUUUAUUUCCUCGUAUCUUCUCU